rnacentral:rRNA from 1 species
UACAGAGGUCUCAACCGUUGUUCGGAUUCAUUGGGCGUAAAGGGUGCGUAGGCGGCGGGGUAAGUCAGGUGUGAAAUCUCGGGGCUCAACCCCGAAACUGCACUUGAUACUGCCUCGCUUGAGUACUGGAGAGGAGACUGGAAUUUACGGUGUAGCAGUGAAAUGCGUAGAUAUCGUAAGGAAGACCAGUGGCGAAGGCGGGUCUCUGGACAGUUCCUGACACUGAGGCACGAAGGCCAGGGGAGCAAACGGG